rnacentral:rRNA from 1 species
UACGUAGGGGGCUAGCGUUGUCCGGAAUCAUUGGGCGUAAAGAGCGUGUAGGCGGCCCGGUAAGUCCGCUGUGAAAGUCGGGGGCUCAACCCUCGAAUGCCGGUGGAUACUGUCGGGCUAGAGUGCGGAAGAGGCGAGUGGAAUUCCUGGUGUAGCGGUGAAAUGCGCAGAGAUCCGGAGGAACACCAGGGGCGAAGGCGGUCAACUGGUCGAGUUCUGACACUGAGGCGCGACGGCGUGGGGAGCAAACCGG